UACUUAUUUUAUUUAUGAACAUAAUUGCUACAUGAUUAAAAAAUAAUAACCAUGUAUGAUAUCAUAAUUAGAGUCCCUUUAUACUCUUUGUUAAUCAGCUCUAUUAUUAAUCAAAAUUGGCAUUUUUAAAAUUUGUAAGCUAUUUUCUAAUGUAUAUGUGACUUAGAGAGCAAGUUGUUUUGUUUGCUAAUUGCAGAUGGUCCUUAAAGGUAGAUGAAGUCUACUUGGUAGACUUUGUUGACUGUUAGUUCUUAUGUAUCCUGAUAUUUUAAACUGAAAUAUUAAAAGCUGCAGUAGUCCUUUAUUUCCUAGGUUGAAUUCCUUGUGUUUUAGUUACUAUAACUCUCUUAUGUUUUAGUUUUUAUUUGAUCUAUGUUAAACUACUUUUCAAGGAAUUAAGUUUUAUUUUUAUAUAAAAUCAUAUUUAAUGGGCAUUAGGUAUAUGUUUCCUUUUAUCUGAUUACUAUAUCAUUGCACAUUCAUUACAGUUUUGUAUGCAAAGAAGUUGGCUAUUUUGCUGGCUCAGUAGAUACAUCAGGAAACUCCAAAGGAAAAGAUUUUCAGCACUGUGUGAAAUAUGAUCUGCAACCAUGCAAGGUAGGUAAAAACUGUUGGUAUUCAAAUCCCAUCACAUUGGUAACUCAAGCCGAAAUUGGAGGACAAGUCACAGUAAGACCAUGUUGGAAGACAAAAUGCUUGCCAGGAUGGGAGCUGGUUGGUGGAGCAUUUGAUUUGGAGACAAACUUUAUUAUCCAGGAUGCUGAGAGUAUAACAUGCAUAACAGAGUUUUUUGGGGCACUGUGGUGUAACAUGCCAAGCAGAAAUAUGGAGCAAGUUUGCAGCCAUUGUAUGAAUAAGUGCUUGGAAUUUACAGACUAGCACAGAAUUUGGGUUGACUGAACAAGUAUUGCUGAAAAUGCAUGCUGUAGAAGACAUGGUAGCAGACAAUUGCAUUGCCUCCUAUUGUAAAGUGGCCUUAUAGAAUGGCUUCACCCUGCACACUUGGUUUCGCAUGGAUCCAUUAAAUAACAUUAAUGUUGAUGAGGAUAAACUUUAUCUUUAUUGGUCUUUCCUGACCAUGCAAUCUAAGAUCCUUGACAAGUGCAAAUGGGGUAUUUUGUGGACAGCUUGGUGCCAUGUAUGUUUUCAGGGAAGCCCUCAACCCAGCACGGAUAGUUGCAACUUAUCAAUUAGGACCUGGAUGUAAGUGUGUCCUUGUCCAAUUUUGGAAUGAAUAAUACCCACUUCGUAAAAUGAGUUUGUCUCAUCAUCAUGGAGGCAGAAGCACAAAUGGAGCGAAAACUGUAGGAGCCAAAACUGAAGGAGGGAUAAUCUUCCCUUGGAUCAGUGAGAUAGUGCUGCAAGUGGUUGAAACAAACACUUAUGACCUAGGACCUUGUUGAGAAGAUGAUUUACCGCUGCACUGAAGUCUAAUCUUUGCUGUGAAUCAGGUAAUCAUGUACCCAAUUAAGGAGUUGAUGCUUUUCAUCAAAAGCAGUUUAAGCACCUGUCACAGGAUGACCCUGAAGACCCUCGGGUUCUGCAAGGCUUCCCAGUACCUGCCAAGGAGAGAGAUAUGGAACCCCUUCCCGAUUGAGAAAAAUGUAAUGGUUCCCUGCCUAACCCUCUUGUGACUAUGUGGGCGUGGUGUCCAGUACCCCCCAUGGGCUGCCAAGAGCAUCAAAACAAUUUAAGAAAAUGUCACAGCCAAGAGGAGCUCAAGUAGGACCAUGAUGACCAAAUGUAAUGUGCUAGGGAAAAGCCAUUCGGAACAACUAAGUAAAUCUGAAUAAAGUAUGAACUUAUCUUUAAGUUCACUGAUUAAGAAAAAUGCAGCACAUCAAUUUAAGAUGUUAAUAAAGAGAAAGUAGACAUAGGAUCUUUGGGAGGUCUGCACAGUCUUCCUGAUAAUUUGCAUGAAUCCAACUGUUCUAAAACUGAAAGUUUAUUUAAACACGAGUUUUGUGCAUGAGGAUUUUUAAAUCAAAUUGAUAAUGGCAGAGUUGUUCUGGAAUUAAUAUGUUUGAGUGGCACAUUCCUAACUUCUAAAUUUUAUUUCAUUCAUUCAACAGAAAUUUCCAAAGUCCUUCUGUAAUAAAACAGUAUAUUAGGUGCUGGAAAAUACAAUUCUGCCACUUUAUUCUGAAGGUGCAUUGCUUAGUAUGAGGAAUGGAGACAUGCGUUUGGCAGCAGGUCUGGGGUCACUGACUGAACUGAACUACACAUCUCUCCUCUAUGACAAUAAGCACACGUUUCAGUUCUUUUUCAAGUCAUUGAAGUGUCAACCAAAACCUUCCAUUCCUUCCAACCACUUGAUUGGGUUUAUCACUGUAUCAAUGCAUUGCUUUACCAAAGAGUGUGAGGGUCGGGGGGGCAUGACUCGAGUGUAGAGCUCCUUUCUAGAAAACAGAUGCAGUCAGAAUUGCUUCAUAAUCCAUGGACAAGAUGGAAGAAAUUAGGAUGUGGGAGGGAAAAGGUAAGACUCAUCAAAUGACAUACCUAGAAAGUCAAGAAAUUGCAUGGGUGAGCCAGAAUUCGCCAUUAAAUUAUUUUUUCUGUAAACUGGGUUUGUCAUCCAUAUGCCUACUGGCAUGUCUUGUUAGAAAGCUAACAUCACUCAAAAAUGUUCAUUAAAAGCAUGAUCAGAGCAGGAAUUAAAUCUGGAUCUUCUCUGUACUAGCUGUCAUAGCAGACCUUCUCAUAGAUUAAUGUAACCUUGUUAAAAUGCAGAUUUUAAUUCUGUACAGAAAGGAUGGGUUGGGGUGCUCAGAUUCUGGAUUCCUGACAAGCUCCCAGGUGACAUGAAUGAUGCCCUCUGUAACACAUGCUGGGUGACAAAGGUUUCUAGUGGGGACCUAGGCAUACAUAUAAUACAAAGUAUAAACUUGUAAAUAUUAGUUCCAUGAAUUAUCACGAAAUCCUGGAUCCUUCCUAACCCUAGAAUUGCCUUGUCCAUUUUAUAAAUCUUUACUGUUCUUUCAAAUGCUUUUGUUGUUGCCUUGUUUCUUGAAUUUAAUGUUGAGUUGCUCAUUGCAAGUGCUAUUUCUUAGCCUAGAAGAGCAUUAUCCUCCUUUUGUGAGACUAACAUUUAGUCAAUUUGUGGAGGUUCAUCUAAUUAAGCCAUCUCCAUUGUUCCCUGGGACCCACUCUGCCUGCUCCUUCCCUUGUCCCCAAGGCAAAGUUUUAACCUAUAGCAAGGACAGUAUUCGUCCCUUUGUCCUGCAGCAGGCAGUCCAUUUAUUCCCUUCAUUUAUUAACCUACCUCUCUGGGUCUCCUGUCACAGUCUUGGCUGAGAAAACAUUUUGGCAUUCCUGAGGUGGCCCAGGAAACCAGGAGACAGGAGCAGGUGCUCUGGGGACCUCACAUGGGACCAUGUAGCCAAGAUACACAAAUGGCACCUAAAAUGCAAAGUGGCAGUGCCUAGAGAGGCAGGCCACAGUGGCGUGCAU